rnacentral:rRNA from 1 species
UACAGAGGUCCCAAGCGUUGUUCGGAUUCACUGGGCGUAAAGGGUGCGUAGGUGGCGGGGUAAGUUUGAUGUGAAAUCUCCGAGCUUAACUCGGAAACUGCAUUGAAUACUAUUCUGCUCGAGGUUUGGAAGGGGGACUGGAAUUCUCGGUGUAGCAGUGAAAUGCGUAGAUAUCGAGAGGAACACCAGUGGCGAAGGCGAGUCCCUGGACAACACCUGACACUGAGGCACGAAAGCUAGGGGAGCAAACAGG